rnacentral:tRNA from 1 species
GGCCCCGUAGCUCAGGGGAUAGAGCGGCCGCCUCCUAAGCGGCAGGUCACAGGUUCGAAUCCUGUCGGGGUCGCCA